rnacentral:rRNA from 1 species
UGGGGAAUAUUGCACAAUGGGGGAAACCCUGAUGCAGCGACGCCGCGUGGGUGAAGAAGUUUUUAGGAAUGUAAAGCCCUAUCAGCAGGGAAGAUAAUGACGGUACCUGACUAAGAAGCCCCGGCUAACUACGUGCCAGCAGCCGCGGUAAUACGUAGGGGGCAAGCGUUAUCCGGAUUUACUGGGUGUAAAGGGAGCGUAGACGGAAUAGCAAGUCUGAAGUGAAAUCAUAGGGCUCAACCCUGUAAUUGCUUUGGAAACUGUUGAUCUUGAGUACCGGAGGGGCAGGCGGAAUUCCUGGUGUAGCGGUGAAAUGCGUAGAUAUCAGGAAGAACACCGGUGGCGAAGGCGGCCUGCUGGACGGCAACUGACGUUGAGGCUCGAAAGCGUGGGGAGCAAACAGG